rnacentral:rRNA from 1 species
AUUGAACGCUGGCGGCAGGCCUAACACAUGCAAGUCGAACGGUAACAGGAAACAGCUUGCUGUUUCGCUGACGAGUGGCGGACGGGUGAGUAAUGUCUGGGAAACUGCCUGAUGGAGGGGGAUAACUACUGGAAACGGUAGCUAAUACCGCAUAACGUCGCAAGACCAAAGAGGGGGACCCUCGGGCCUCUUGCCAUCGGAUGUGCCCAGAUGGGAUUAGCUUGUUGGUGGGGUAACGGCUCACCAAGGCGACGAUCCCUAGCUGGUCUGAGAGGAUGACCAGCCACACUGGAGCUGAGACACGGUCCAGACUCCUACGGGAGGCAGCAGUGGGGAAUAUUGCACAAUGGGCGCAAGCCUGAUGCAGCCAUGCCGCGUGUAUGAAGAAGGCCUUCGGGUUGUAAAGUACUUUCAGCGGGGAGGAAGGGAGUAAAGUUAAUACCUUUGCUCAUUGACGUUACCCGCAGAAGAAGCACCGGCUAACUCCGUG